UACGUAGGAGACGAGCGUUGUCCGGAAUUACUGGGCGUAAAGCGCGUGUAGGCGGAUGAGCAAGUCUGCUGUGAAAGCUCCUGGCUUAACCGGGAGUGGUCGGUGGAAACUGCUCGUCUGGAGGACGGUAGAGGUAGGUAGAAUUCCCGGUGUAGUGGUGAAAUGCGUAGAGAUCGGGAGGAACACCUGUGGCGAAGGCGGCCCCCUGGGCCGGCCCUGACACUGAGACGCGAAGGCGUGGGGAGCGAACGGG
rnacentral:rRNA from 1 species